rnacentral:rRNA from 1 species
UACGUAGGGUGCAAGCGUUAAUCGGAAUUACUGGGCGUAAAGCGUGCGCAGGCGGUUGUGCAAGACCGAUGUGAAAUCCCCGGGCUCAACCUGGGAAUGGCAUUGGUGACUGCACGGCUAGAGUGUGUCAGAGGGGGGUAGAAUUCCACGUGUAGCAGUGAAAUGCGUAGAGAUGUGGAGGAAUACCGAUGGCGAAGGCAGCCCCCUGGGCCAAUACUGACGCUCAUGCACGCAAGCGUGGGGAGCAAACAGG